AUUGAACGCUGGCGGCAUGCCUAACACAUGUAAGUCGAACGAGUGGCGGACGGGUGAGUAAUGUCUGGGAAACUUCCCGAUGUAGGGGGAUAACUACUGGAAACGGUAGCUAAUACCGCGUACCAUCGGCUGUUCCCAGAUGGGAUUAGGUUGUGGGUGAGGUAACGGCUCACCUAGGCGACGAUCCCUAGCUGGUCGGAGAGGAUGCCCAGCCACACUGGAACUGAGACACGGUCCAGACUCCUACGGGAGGCAGCAGUGGGGAAUAUUGCACAAUGGGCGAAAGCCUGAUGCAGCAAUGCCGCGUGUAUGAAGAAGGCCUUCGGGUUUUAAAGUACUUUCAGCGGGGAGGCGUUACCCGAAGAGGAAGCAACGGCUAACUCCGUGCCAGCAGCCGCGGUAAUAC
rnacentral:rRNA from 1 species